UACGGAGGGGGCUAGCGUUGUUCGGAAUUACUGGGCGUAAAGCGCACGUAGGCGGUUUUGUAAGUCAGAGGUGAAAGCCCGGGGCUCAACCCCGGAAUUGCCUUUGAGACUGCGAGACUUGAACCCGGGAGAGGUGAGCGGAAUUCCGAGUGUAGAGGUGAAAUUCGUAGAUAUUCGGAAGAACACCAGUGGCGAAGGCGGCUCACUGGACCGGAGUUGACGCUGAGGUGCGAAAGCGUGGGGAGCAAACAGG
rnacentral:rRNA from 1 species